rnacentral:rRNA from 1 species
GUUAGGAAUAUUGGACAAUGGGCGCAAGCCUGAUCCAGCCAUGCCGCGUGAACGAUGAAGGCCUUCGGGUUGUAAAGUUCUUUAGCCGAUGAUUAUAAUGACUGUAGUCGGAAAAUAAGCCCCGGCUAACUUCGUGCCAGCAGCCGCGGUAAUACGAAGGGGGCGAGCGUUAUUCGGAAUCACUGGGCGUAAAGCGUGCGUAGGCGGUCUCGUAAGUUAGGAGUGAAAGCCCAGGACUCAACCUUGGAAUUGCUCUUAAAACUGCAAGGCUAGAAUAUCGGAGAGGAUAGCGGAAUUUCCAGUGUAGCAGUGAAAUGCGUAGAUAUUGGAAGGAACACCAGUGGCGUAAGCGGCUAUCUGUACGAGUAUUGACGCUGAGGCACGAAAGCGUGAGGAUCAAACAGGAUUAGAUACCCCAGUAGUCC